GUGGCUUCCGGAGCUAACGCGUUAAAUCGACCGCCUGGGGAGUACGGCCGCAAGGUUAAAACUCAAAUGAAUUGACGGGGGCCCGCACAAGCGGUGGAGCAUGUGGUUUAAUUCGAUGCAACGCGAAGAACCUUACCUGGUCUUGACAUCCACAGAACUUUCCAGAGAUGGAUUGGUGCCUUCGGGAACUGUGAGACAGGUGCUGCAUGGCUGUCGUCAGCUCGUGUUGUGAAAUGUUGGGUUAAGUCCCGCAACGAGCGCAACCCUUAUCCUUUGUUGCCAGCGGUUAGGCCGGGAACUCAAAGGAGACUGCCAGUGAUAAACUGGAGGAAGGUGGGGAUGACGUCAAGUCAUCAUGGCCCUUACGACCAGGGCUACACACGUGCUACAAUGGCGCAUACAAAGAGAAGCGACCUCGCGAGAGCAAGCGGACCUCAUAAAGUGCGUCGUAGUCCGGAUUGGAGUCUGCAACUCGACUCCAUGAAGUCGGAAUCGCUAGUAAUCGUAGAUCAGAAUGCUACGGUGAAUACGUUCCCGGGCCUUGUACACACCGCCCGUCACACCAUGGGAGUGGGUUGCAAAAGAAGU
rnacentral:rRNA from 1 species